GUGGGAGGGGGCUUGCCCCCGAUAGCGGCGGGUCAGUCACCUCAAUGGUUGCUGAUACACCGCAAUCGGGGGCAAGCCCCCUCCCAC
rnacentral:antisense_RNA from 1 species